AACUCUGUAGUUUAAAAAAAAAUUAUAGUUUUGCAAGCUUUAGAUGGGAUUACCUCAGUGUUA
rnacentral:tRNA from 1 species